rnacentral:rRNA from 1 species
AUGCUAAUAUAGCAUAACAAUUUGAAUCGCAUGAUUCAAAUUUAAAAGAUGGCUUCGGCUAUCACUUUGGGAUGGACCUGCGGCGCAUUAGCUUGUUGGUAGGGUAACGGCCUACCAAGGCUGUGAUGCGUAGCCGAGUUGAGAGACUGAUCGGCCACAAUGGAACUGAGACACGGUCCAUACUCCUACGGGAGGCAGCAGUAGGGAAUCUUCCACAAUGGGCGCAAGCCUGAUGGAGCAACACCGCGUGAGUGAAGAAGGGUUUCGGCUCGUAAAGCUCUGUUGUUAGAGAAGAACGUGCGUGAGAGUAACUGUUCACGCAGUGACGGUAUCUAACCAGAAAGUCACGGCUAACUACGUGCCAGCAGCCGCGGUAAUACGUAGGUGGCAAGCGUUAUCCGGAUUUAUUGGGCGUAAAGCGAGCGCAGGCGGUUUGAUAAGUCUGAUGUGAAAGCCUUUGGCUUAACCAAAGAAGUGCAUCGGAAACUGUCAGACUUGAGUGCAGAAGAGGACAGUGGAACUCCAUGUGUAGCGGUGGAAUGCGUAGAUAUAUGGAAGAACACCAGUGGCGAAGGCGGCUGUCUGGUCUGCAACUGACGCUGAGGCUCGAAAGCAUGGGUAGCGAACAGGAUUAGAUACCCUGGUAGUCCAUGCCGUAAACGAUGAGUGCUAGGUGUUGGAGGGUUUCCGCCCUUCAGUGCCGCAGCUAACGCAUUAAGCACUCCGCCUGGGGAGUACGACCGCAAGGUUGAAACUCAAAGGAAUUGACGGGGGCCCGCACAAGCGGUGGAGCAUGUGGUUUAAUUCGAAGCUACGCGAAGAACCUUACCAGGUCUUGACAUCUUGCGCCAACCCUAGAGAUAGGGCGUUUCCUUCGGGAACGCAAUGACAGGUGGUGCAUGGUCGUCGUCAGCUCGUGUCGUGAGAUGUUGGGUUAAGUCCCGCAACGAGCGCAACCCUUGUUACUAGUUGCCAGCAUUCAGUUGGGCACUCUAGUGAGACUGCCGGUGACAAACCGGAGGAAGGUGGGGACGACGUCAGAUCAUCAUGCCCCUUAUGACCUGGGCUACACACGUGCUACAAUGGACGGUACAACGAGUCGCGAACUCGCGAGGGCAAGCUAAUCUCUUAAAACCGUUCUCAGUUCGGACUGCAGGCUGCAACUCGCCUGCACGAAGUCGGAAUCGCUAGUAAUCGCGGA